rfam:Populus trichocarpa scaffold_4_contig_157, whole genome shotgun sequence.
UUUAGAACCCGAGAUAUGGACUGAACACUGAACAUUGUUUGGGUUGCAAGACAGAUUCAGACUUCUUUUUUUAUGCUAAGAUUUGGACUCCAAAACGGCAGAAUUGAGUCUUGGACUCCUCAUGAAUGUUUUAGGCCUAUGUCUUAGCUUUCUAUU